GGCCAAGGCAGGCUGCAAGGAGUCCUCGUGCGCCCCUCUCCCAGGGUGGCCAAAACGCUAUCCCCAAGCCGCGCCACCCCACAGUCUUUGAUAAACAACCAACCUGGUCACCCUCGCCUCCCCGUGCCAACUCGGGCUCUGCCUGACACCACGAGGAGAGGAAUCGCCAAACG